rnacentral:sRNA from 1 species
CCAACAUUCUACCAAAAAGCGUUCCUACAAAGGCAACUCUCUCUAAACCGUUUUUUGCCCAUGAGGUAUGGAAAUCGUCUAUUAGAAUGGAGAGUAAUUGAAAGGAAAAAUUACCUUUUUUGGUUCUUUCUUUCUUUUUUUCUCGUCGGUCUUGGGUGCAGUGUCAUUCCUUUCUCCGCGUUCCCUCUCUCUCCAGAGUAAAAGAGCGCGGAGGUAGCCUCUGAGUGGGAUUGCAAUGAUUGGCGGGACAUUCAUUCAGAUGUAUAAAUGCUCGUUGAACGUUCGCGAGUUUUUUAUUUUUAUUUUUUUUAUUUUAUUUUUUUUGGAAGCAGGGCAGAAUGGAAGGAAAGGAUGGUCAUUUUCCCUUCCCCCUUAUAUAAAAUAAUCAGACAAGCAAAAAGAAAGUAUAUCGGUCAUUAUUCAAACUGUCAAUAAAAGUACAUUGGGAAAGAAUACAUACAUGCCCUGGGGAAUCAAGC